AUUGAACGCUGGCGGCAGGCCUACCACAUGCAAGUCGAACGAGUGGCGGACGGGUGAGUAAUGUCUGGGAAACUGCCUGAUGGAGGGGGAUAACUACUGGACACGGUAGCUAAUACCGCAUACCCUCGGAUGUGCCCAGAUGGGAUUAGCUAUUAGGUGGGGUAAAGGAUCACGUAGGCGACGAGCCCUAGCUGGUCUGCGCGAAUGACCAGACACACUGGAACUGAGACACGGUCCAGACUCCUACGGGAGGCAUCAGUGGGGAAGAUGGCAAAAUGGGCGCAAGCCGGAUGCAGCCAUGCCGCGUGUAUGAAGAAGUCCUUCGGGUUGUAAAGUACUUUCAGCGGGGAGGCGUUACCCGCAGAAGAAGCACAGGCUAACUCCGUGCCAGCCGCCGCGGUAAUUC
rnacentral:rRNA from 1 species